rnacentral:tRNA from 1 species
CACUAAAUGGCUGAAAGUAAGCUAUGGAAUUUUAAACCAUUAAUAAUGUAAUCACGUACAUUUCUAGUGA